CCCUUAGAUGUUCUGGGCUGCACGCGCGCUACACUGAAGCGUUCAACGAGUAUUCACCUUGCCCGGGAGGGUUGGGUAAUCUUUUGAAAACGCUUCGUGAUGGGGAUAGAUUAUUGCAAUUAUUAAUCUUCAACGAGGAAUUCCUAGUAAGCGCGAGUCAUCAGCUCGUGCUGAUUACGUCCCUGCCCUUUGUACACACCGCCCGUCGCACCUACCGAUUGAAUGGUCCGGUGAAAUCUUCGGAUCUGAGAGAUGUCUGAUUAAUUUCGGACGCCUUUUGGAAAAGUUGUUUAAACCUUACCAUUUAGAGGAAGGUGAAGUCGUAACA
rnacentral:rRNA from 1 species